CAUUGAAAUACCGGUUCCCAUACCAUAACCGAAGUUAAGCAACACUGGUCCUGGACAGUACCCAGAUGGGUGCCCGUUUGAGAAUAUCAGGGGAUGCAA